rnacentral:rRNA from 1 species
UACAGAGGGUGCGAGCGUUGUUCGGAAUUACUGGGCGUAAAGCGUGCGCAGGCGGUGAUGUAAGACAGGUGUGAAAUCCCCGGGCUUAACCUGGGAACUGCAUUUGUGACUGCAUCGCUGGAGUGCGGCAGAGGGGGAUGGAAUUCCGCGUGUAGCAGUGAAAUGCGUAGAUAUGCGGAGGAACACCAGUAGCGAAGGCGACACUCUGGGCCGGUACUGACGCUGAGGAGCGAAAGCGUGGGGAGCAAACAGG